rnacentral:rRNA from 1 species
GGGGUACUCGAGUGGCGAACGGGUGAGUAACACGUGGGUAAUCUGCCCUGCACAUCGGGAUAAGCCUGGGAAACUGGGUCUAAUACCGAAUAGGACCACAAACACAUGUCCUGUGGUGGAAAGCUUUUGCGGUGUGGGAUGGGCCCGCGGCCUAUCAGCUUGUUGGUGGGGUGAUGGCCCACCAAGGCGACGACGGGUAGCCGGCCUGAGAGGGUGUCCGGCCACACUGGGACUGAGAUACGGCCCCAGACUCCUACGGGAGGCAGCAGUGGGGAAUAUUGCACAAUGGGCGAAAGCCUGAUGCAGCGACGCCGCGUGGGGGAUGACGGCCUUCGGGUUGUAAACCUCUUUCACCAUCGACGAAGGUUCGGGUUUUCUCGGAUUGACGGUAGGUGGAGAAGAAGCACCGGCCAACUACGUGCCAGCAGCCGCGGUAAUACGUAGGGUGCGAGCGUUGUCCGGAAUUACUGGGCGUAAAGAGCUCGUAGGUGGUUUGUCGCGUUGUUCGUGAAAUCUCACGGCUUAACUGUGAGCGUGCGGGCGAUACGGGCAGACUUGAGUACUGCAGGGGAGACUGGAAUUCCUGGUGUAGCGGUGGAAUGCGCAGAUAUCAGGAGGAACACCGGUGGCGAAGGCGGGUCUCUGGGCAGUAACUGACGCUGAGGAGCGAAAGCGUGGGGAGCGAACAGGAUUAGAUACCCUGGUAGUCCACGCCGUAAACGGUGGGUACUAGGUGUGGGUUUCCUUCCUUGGGAUCCGUGCCGUAGCUAACGCAUUAAGUACCCCGCCUGGGGAGUACGGCCGCAAGGCUAAAACUCAAAGAAAUUGACGGGGGCCCGCACAAGCGGCGGAGCAUGUGGAUUAAUUCGAUGCAACGCGAAGAACCUUACCUGGGUUUGACAUGCACAGGACGCCGGCAGAGAUGUCGGUUCCCUUGUGGCCUGUGUGCAGGUGGUGCAUGGCUGUCGUCAGCUCGUGUCGUGAGAUGUUGGGUUAAGUCCCGCAACGAGCGCAACCCUUGUCUCAUGUUGCCAGCGGGUAAUGCCGGGGACUCGUGAGAGACUGCCGGGGUCAACUCGGAGGAAGGUGGGGAUGACGUCAAGUCAUCAUGCCCCUUAUGUCCAGGGCUUCACACAUGCUACAAUGGCCGGUACAAAGGGCUGCGAUGCCGCGAGGUUAAGCGAAUCCUUUUAAAGCCGGUCUCAGUUCGGAUCGGGGUCUGCAACUCGACCCCGUGAAGGUGGAGUCGCUAGUAAUCGCAGAUCAGCAACGCUGCGGUGAAUACGUUCCCGGGCCUUGUACACACCGCCCGUCACGUCAUGAAAGUCGGUAACACCCGAAGCC